AUUGAACGCUGGCGGCAGGCCUAACACAUGCAAGUCGAACGAGUGGCGGACGGGUGAGUAAUGUAUGGGAAUCUGCCCGAUGGAGGGGGAUAACUACUGGAAACGGUAGCUAAUACCGCAUACUAUCGGAUGUACCCAUAUGGGAUUAGCUAGUAGGUGGGGUAAAGGCUCACCUAGGCGACGAUCCCUAGCUGGUCUGAGAGGAUGAACAGCCACACUGGAACUGAGACACGGUCCAGACGCCUACGGGAGGCAGCAGUGGGGAAUAUUGCACAAUGGGCGCAAGCCUGAUGCAGCCAUGCCGCGUGUAUGAAGAAGGCCUUCGGGUUGUAAAGUACUUUCAGCGAGGAGGCGUUACCCGCAGAAGAAGCACCGGCUAACUCCGUGCCAGCAGCCGCGGUAAUAC
rnacentral:rRNA from 1 species